GACGGAGGGGGCAAGCGUUGUUCGGAAUUAUUGGGCGUAAAGGGCUCGUAGGCGGCCAACUAAGUCAGACGUGAAAUCCCUCGGCUUAACCGGGGAACUGCGUCUGAUACUGGAUGGCUAGAGGUUGGGAGAGGGAUGCGGAAUUCCAGGUGUAGCGGUGAAAUGCGUAGAUAUCUGGAGGAACACCGGUGGCGAAGGCGGCAUCCUGGACCGGUAUUGACGCUGAGGCGCGAAAGCCAGGGGAGCAAACGGG
rnacentral:rRNA from 1 species